GAAAAAGCUGUCUAGGGUUCCGCUGGUUCCACCAUGAGCGACAUUAUUGCGAGUCGUGGGAGAGUCAGGCCAGGUCCGAGAGAUGGCGUGCGAUGGACCCGUACAGCUGCGGUAAGCGGCGGCGAGCCGGACAUGCGCAUACACGGAAGGAUAAAAGCCUGGGAGAU
rnacentral:sRNA from 2 species